rnacentral:rRNA from 1 species
AGUAAUGUAUGGGGAUCUGCCUGAUGGCGGGGGAUAACUACUGGAAACGGUAGCUAAUACCGCAUAAUGUCUGCGGACCAAAGCGGGGGGACCGUCCGGGCCUCGCGCCAUCAGAUGAACCCAUAUGGGAUUAGCUAGUAGGUGGGGUAACGGCUCACCUAGGCGACGAUCCCUAGCUGGUCUGAGAGGAUGACCAGCCACACUGGAACUGAGACACGGUCCAG